rnacentral:rRNA from 1 species
AGCUGAUCACAAUGCCGCGUGUGUGAAGAAGGCCUUCGGGUUGUAAAGCACUUUUGUCCGGAAAGAAAUCCUUGGCUCUAAUACAGUCGGGGGAUGACGGUACCGGAAGAAUAAGCACCGGCUAACUACGUGCCAGCAGCCGCGGUAAUACGUAGGGUGCGAGCGUUAAUCGGAAUUACUGGGCGUAAAGCGUGCGCAGGCGGUUUGCUAAGACCGAUGUGAAAUCCCCGGGCUCAACCUGGGAACUGCAUUGGUGACUGGUAUGCUAGAGUAUGGCAGAGGGGGGUAGAAUUCCUCGUGUAGGAGUGAAAUGCGUGAGAUGUGGAGGAAUACCGAUGGGGAAGGCUGCCCCCUGCGCCAAUACUGACGCUCAUGCACGACAGCUUGGGGAACAUACCAGAUUAGAUACCCCGGUGGUCAGA